UGGGGGAUAUUGCACAAUGGGCGCAAGCCUGAUGCAGCGACGCCGCGUGGGGGAUGAAGGCCUUCGGGUUGUAAACUUCUUUUGCUCUGAACAAGGCGCACUUUGGGGUGUGUUGAGUGUAGGGGUUGAUUAGCGCCGGCUAACUACGUGCCAGCAGCCGCGGUAAUACGUAGGGCGCGAGCGUUGUCCGGAAUUAUUGGGCGUAAAGGGCUUGUAGGUGGCUGGUUGCGUCUGUCGUGAAAGCUCAUGGCUUAACUGUGGGUUGGCGGUGGGUACGGGCUGGCUUGAGUGCAGUAGGGGAGGCUGGAAUUCCUGGUGUAGCGGUGGAAUGCGAAGAUAUCAGGAGGAAGACCGGUGGCGAAGGCGGGUCUCUGGGCUGUUACUGACACUGAGGAGCGAAAGCAUGGGGAGCGAACAGG
rnacentral:rRNA from 1 species